rnacentral:lncRNA from 1 species
UGCGUCUUGGCCAUGUGUGUAAACAUGACUAAUGAAAUAGGUUUAUGAUGUAGACUAUAUUGUGUGCAAAUCCUCAGAUUAACAACAUGCAGAAAUGUCGAACAUGAAAAUAUGCAGAAAAUAGGUCUACUUUUUUAAAUACAAACAUGCAGAAGUAAGAUUGAAAACGAGGUGUAUACCCGAUCCUAGUAUUAAAGCCGAUCAAUUCAUUCUGACCACACUGUGUUAACCGGAACAAAUUCAAACUCGAUAUUUGAUUCAUAAAAGAAUUAAACAAUCCAUGCCAAC